GGCCACAGCCAUAUCACCCUGCAGCCCAAGACUGGUUGCCCGCUGAAGCUAAGCAGGGUUGAGCCUGGUCAGUACCUGGAUGGGAGACCUCUUAGGAAAACUAGGUUGCUGUUGGAA
rnacentral:rRNA from 1 species